rnacentral:rRNA from 1 species
GUCCAAGCAGUUAGGCUGGGAAAUAGGCAAAUCCGUUUCCCAUAAGGCUGAGCUGUGAUGGCGAGCGAAAUAUAGUAGCGAAGUUCCUGAUUCCACACUGCCAAGAAAAGCCUCUAGCGAGGUGAGAGGUGCCCGUACCGCAAACCGACACAGGUAGGCGAGGAGAGAAUCCUAAGGUGAUCGAGAGAACUCUCGUUAAGGAACUCGGCAAAAUGACCCCGUAACUUCGGGAGAAGGGGUGCUCUGUUAGGGUGCAAGCCCGAGAGAGCCGCAGUGAAUAGGCCCAGGCGACUGUUUAGCAAAAACACAGGUCUCUGCGAAGCCGUAAGGCGAAGUAUAGGGGCUGACGCCUGCCCGGUGCUGGAAGGUUAAGAGGAGCGCUUAGCGUAAGCGAAGGUGCGAAUUGAAGCCCCAGUAAACGGCGGCCGUAACGAUAACGGUCCUAAGGUAGCGAAAUUCCUUGUCGGGUAAGUUCCGACCCGCACGAAAGGCGCAACGAUCUGGGCACUGUCUCAACGAGAGACUCGGUGAAAUUAUAGUACCUGUGAAGAUGCAGGUUACCCGCGACAGGACGGAAAGACCCCGUGGAGCUUUACUGCAGCCUGAUAUUGAAUGUUGGUACAGCUUGUACAGGAUAGGUAGGAGCCUUGGAAACCGGAGCGCCAGCUUCGGUGGAGGCAUCGGUGGGAUACUACCCUGGCUGUAUUGACCUUCUAACCCGCCGCCCUUAUCGGGCGGGGAGACAGUGUCAGGUGGGCAGUUUGACUGGGGCGGUCGCCUCCUAAAAGGUAACGGAGGCGCCCAAAGGUUCCCUCAGAAUGGUUGGAAAUCAUUCGCAGAGUGUAAAGGCACAAGGGAGCUUGACUGCGAGACCUACAAGUCGAGCAAGGACGAAAGUCGGGCUUAGUGAUCCGGUGGUUCCGCAUGGAAGGGCCAUCGCUCAACGGAUAAAAGCUACCCCGGGGAUAACAGGCUUAUCUCCCCCAAGAGUCCACAUCGACGGGGAGGUUUGGCACCUCGAUGUCGGCUCAUCGCAUCCUGGGGCUGUAGUCGGUCCCAAGGGUUGGGCUGUUCGCCCAUUAAAGCGGUACGCGAGCUGGGUUCAGAACGUCGUGAGACAGUUCGGUCCCUAUCCGUCGCGGGCGCAGGAAAUUUGAGAGGAGCUGUCCUUAGUACGAGAGGACCGGGAUGGACGCACCGCUGGUGUACCAGUUGUUCUGCCAAGGGCAUCGCUGGGUAGCUAUGUGCGGACGGGAUAAGUGCUGAAAGCAUCUAAGCAUGAAGCCCCCUCAAGAUGAGAUUUCCCAUUCCGCAAGGAAGUAAGAUCCCUGAAAGAUGAUCAGGUUGAUAGGUCUGAGGUGGAAGUGUGGCGACACAUGGAGCUGACAGAUACUAAUCGAUCGAGGACUUAAAC